CCUAACCUAUCAUAUGCAUUUAUAGUUAUUCUUCUGUGUAUUUUGUGUAAUAAAAAAAAGUAAUGUUAUAAAUAUAAUAAAUUGCAAUGGUUAAUAAACACGAAUUUGUUGCUGAAGUGGUCUGGUGAUAUACGUGGAAAUAAUAUGCUACAGUCAUGUGCAGAUGGAACACAUGAAACUUCAUUCCAAACACGACCCUGAUUCCAUACUUUACCAGAGACCAGCAAAAAAUUAAGUAGAACAAACAAGCAAACGAAAUUCAAAGGAUAAAAAAAAAUCAAGAAAUAAGAGUAGAAAAUACGCUAUUACAUAGAAGUAAAGAAUAUAACACAGAAAUACAAAAUAAACACGGUAGUAACAACAAACACAGAACAUUUUGAAAUACUUCAAACAUGUUUAAUCAGUAUACAAGCG
rnacentral:lncRNA from 1 species